UACGGAGGGGGCUAGCGUUGUUCGGAAUUACUGGGCGUAAAGCGCACGUAGGCGGAUCAGCAAGUUAGGGGUGAAAUCCCGGGGCUCAACCCCGGAACUGCCUUUAAGACUGUUGGUCUGGAGUCCGAGAGAGGUGAGUGGAAUUCCGAGUGUAGAGGUGAAAUUCGUAGAUAUUCGGAGGAACACCAGUGGCGAAGGCGGCGAUCUGGGAAGAUACUGACGCUGAGGUGCGAAAGCGUGGGGAGCGAACAGG
rnacentral:rRNA from 1 species